GGGUUGUGAGGUUAAGCGACUAAGCGUACACGGUGGAUGCCCUGGCAGUCAGAGGCGAUGAAGGGCGUGCUAAUCUGCGAUAAGCGCCGGUAAGGUGAUAUGAACCGUUAUAACCGGCGAUACCCGAAUGGGGAAACCCAGUGUGAUUCGUCACACUAUCAUUAACUGAAUCCAUAGGUUAAUGAGGCGAACCGGGGGAACUGAAACAUCUAAGUACCCCGAGGAAAAGAAAUCAACCGAGAUUCCCCCAGUAGCGGCGAGCGAACGGGGAGGAGCCCAGAGCCUGAAUCAGCAUGUGUGUUAGUGGAAGCGUCUGGAAAGGUGCGCGAUACAGGGUGACAGCCCCGUACACAAAAGCGCAUGUGCUGUGAGCUCGAUGAGUAGGGCGGGACACGUGGUAUCCUGUCUGAAUAUGGGGGGACCAUCCUCCAAGGCUAAAUACUCCUGACUGACCGAUAGUGAACCAGUACCGUGAGGGAAAGGCGAAAAGAACCCCGGCGAGGGGAGUGAAAAAGAACCUGAAACCGUGUACGUACAAGCAGUGGGAGCACAGGUUUACCUGUGUGACUGCGUACCUUUUGUAUAAUGGGUCAGCGACUUAUAUUCUGUAGCAAGGUUAACCGAAUAGGGGAGCCGGAGGGAAACCGAGUCUUAAUUGGGCGUUAAGUUGCAGGGUAUAGACCCGAAACCCGGUGAUCUAGCCAUGGGCAGGUUGAAGGUUGGGUAACACUAACUGGAGGACCGAACCGACUAAUGUUGAAAAAUUAGCGGAUGACCUGUGGCUGGGGUGAAAGGCCAAUCAAACCGGGAGAUAGCUGGUUCUCCCCGAAAGCUAUUUAGGUAGCGCCUCGUGAAUUCAUCUCCGGGGGUAGAGCACUGUUUCGGCUAGGGGGCCAUCCCGGCUUACCAACCCGAUGCAAACUGCGAAUACCGGAGAAUGUUAUCACGGGAGACACACGGCGGGUGCUAACGUCCGUCGUGAAGAGGGAAACAACCCAGACCGCCAGCUAAGGUCCCAAAGUCAUGGUUAAGUGGGAAACGAUGUGGGAAGGCCCAGACAGGGAUGUUGGCUUAGAAGCAGCCAUCAUUUAAAGAAAGCGUAAUAGCUCACUGGUCGAGUCGGCCUGCGCGGAAGAUGUAACGGGGCUAAACCAUGCACCGAAGCUGCGGCAGCGAACGUAUCACCCAAGACAACUUUACGGAGUUGACGAUUGACGGAGCGAAGCGACGUCAAAGCGUUCAUUAAAGUCGAGUUGGCUUAGGGAUACGUUCGUUGGGUAGGGGAGCGUUCUGUAAGCCUGUGAAGGUGUGUCGUGAGGCAUGCUGGAGGUAUCAGAAGUGCGAAUGCUGACAUAAGUAACGAUAAAGCGGGUGAAAAGCCCGCUCGCCGGAAGACCAAGGGUUCCUGUCCAACGUUAAUCGGGGCAGGGUGAGUCGACCCUAAGGCGAGGCCGAAAGGCGUAGUCGAUGGGAAACGGGUUAAUAUUCCCGUACUUGGUGUUACUGCGAAGGGGGGACGGAGAAGGCUAUGUUGGCCGGGCGACGGUUGUCCCGGUUUAAGCGUGUAGGUGUGUGUUCCAGGUAAAUCCGGUUCACUUUAACACUGAGGCGUGACGACGAGGCACUACGGUGCUGAAGCAACAAAUGCCCUGCUUCCAGGAAAAGCCUCUAAGCAUCAGGUAACACGAAAUCGUACCCCAAACCGACACAGGUGGUCAGGUAGAGAAUACCAAGGCGCUUGAGAGAACUCGGGUGAAGGAACUAGGCAAAAUGGUGCCGUAACUUCGGGAGAAGGCACGCUGACACGUAGGUGAAGUGAUUUACUCAUGGAGCUGAAGUCAGUCGAAGAUACCAGCUGGCUGCAACUGUUUAUUAAAAACACAGCACUGUGCAAACACGAAAGUGGACGUAUACGGUGUGACGCCUGCCCGGUGCCGGAAGGUUAAUUGAUGGGGUCAGCGUAAGCGAAGCUCCUGAUCGAAGCCCCGGUAAACGGCGGCCGUAACUAUAACGGUCCUAAGGUAGCGAAAUUCCUUGUCGGGUAAGUUCCGACCUGCACGAAUGGCGUAAUGAUGGCGAGGCUGUCUCCACCCGAGACUCAGUGAAAUUGAACUCGCUGUGAAGAUGCAGUGUACCCGCGGCAAGACGGAAAGACCCCGUGAACCUUUACUAUAGCUUGACACUGAACAUUGAGCCUUGAUGUGUAGGAUAGGUGGGAGGCUUUGAAGUGUGGACGCCAGUCUGCAUGGAGCCGACCUUGAAAUACCACCCUUUAAUGUUUGAUGUUCUAACGUGGACCCGUAAUCCGGGUUGCGGACAGUGUCUGGUGGGUAGUUUGACUGGGGCGGUCUCCUCCUAAAGAGUAACGGAGGAGCACGAAGGUUGGCUAAUCCUGGUCGGACAUCAGGAGGUUAGUGCAAUGGCAUAAGCCAGCUUGACUGCGAGCGUGACGGCGCGAGCAGGUGCGAAAGCAGGUCAUAGUGAUCCGGUGGUUCUGAAUGGAAGGGCCAUCGCUCAACGGAUAAAAGGUACUCCGGGGAUAACAGGCUGAUACCGCCCAAGAGUUCAUAUCGACGGCGGUGUUUGGCACCUCGAUGUCGGCUCAUCACAUCCUGGGGCUGAAGUAGGUCCCAAGGGUAUGGCUGUUCGCCAUUUAAAGUGGUACGCGAGCUGGGUUUAGAACGUCGUGAGACAGUUCGGUCCCUAUCUGCCGUGGGCGCUGGAGAACUGAGGGGGGCUGCUCCUAGUACGAGAGGACCGGAGUGGACGCAUCACUGGUGUUCGGGUUGUCAUGCCAAUGGCACUGCCCGGUAGCUAAAUGCGGAAGAGAUAAGUGCUGAAAGCAUCUAAGCACGAAACUUGCCCCGAGAUGAGUUCUCCCUGAGACUUAGAGUCUCCUGAAGGAACGUUGAAGACGACGACGUUGAUAGGCCGGGUGUGUAAGCGCAGCGAUGCGUUGAGCUAACCGGUACUAAUGAACCGUGAGGCUUAACCUUACAACGCCGAAG
rnacentral:rRNA from 1 species